rnacentral:rRNA from 1 species
UACAGAGGGUGCAAGCGUUAAUCGGAAUUACUGGGCGUAAAGCGUGCGUAGUCGGUUAUUUAAGUCGGGCGUGAAAGCCCCGGGCUCAACCUGGGAAUUGCGUUCGAUACUGGAUAGCUAGAGUUCGGCAGAGGGAAGCGGAAUUUCGGGUGUAGCGGUGAAAUGCGUAGAUAUCAGGAAGAACACCCGUGGCGAAGGCGGCUCUCUGGGACGGUACUGACGCUGAGACGCGAAAGCGUGGGGAGCGAACAGG